GAAGUAGAUAGCUUAACCUUUCGGGGAGGGCGUUUACCACGGUGUGGUUCAUGACUGGGGUGAAGUCGUAACAAGGUAGCCCUAGGGGAACCUGGGGCUGGAUCACCUCCUUA
rnacentral:rRNA from 1 species